UUAAUUAUCUCGGUUUAAUUCGCACGAAAGUUUACCUUUCGUAAUCAAUUUAUCGUCUUCAACUACUUGUUUAGUUCGACCUGUUUCCGUGAAAAUACUCAUUUAUUCACCGUGCAAUCGGAUUUUGCCGUGGUUUCCGCCACAGAUCAAAGUCUCGUUUAACUUUUUCCAUAUUUACUUGUACAAUCGCACGAGAAAAAAAAAAGGAAAUAUUGCAAUUAAUACAUCUCUUUAAGACCACAAACGAUUCGUUUAAUUCUCGGGAAAAUUCUACGGGAUCAGUUUCACCUUUGAUUCAAAGAUUUCGCGUAAACAGUUCGGAAAUCUCGUCGAAUUGGCUGGAUAAUGAGAAAUUGAUAAGAUUACGUUCUAUGUGUCUUGUACACAAAGAAAAUAGGUAAGAACCUUGGCGAAACGUUAAAUUCUAGCGAGAUAAGGAUACCUGUAUCAGAGUAUUUAAUCAGAGAAAAAGAUCGAUGACGCGAUCGUUCCAUCGAGUAAUUUUAUUCGCGAAUAAAGAAACGAUAUAAUAAAGAAGCGAAGAAGCGAGAAAAGUUCGCGAUAAAUCAUCGUAUAAAUCGUCGAAUUGCCGGAUUAAAGCACGAAUCUGGGUCAGCGGUGGUUCGAUUUUGUCUUUUUCAAAUUCGUUUUUCACACGAAGCUCUUCCGGGGGGUCUUAUAAUUGAUUCGCGAUGUCAUCUACUCGAUAUCAAACGCGAGAAUCCUUCGGUUAUCGGUGGGAAUUUUUCGCUAAACGAAAAUCUAGAAUGCAGGUCGAUGUUCUAGAUUGAAAUGACGCGACGC
rnacentral:misc_RNA from 1 species